AGCUCAGUUCGUAGAGCGCUUUACUUGUAAUGGAGAGGUCCCGGGUUCGAUACCCGG
rfam:Ixodes scapularis strain Wikel colony gcontig_1108379302454, whole genome shotgun sequence.